CAAGAACUCAUCCUUCCCAGCUGGAAUGACAACAUCCACAUGGAUCAGCACCACGGGCUUUGGCCUCGGGAUCAAAAGACAUAUGAAAGCAACCUUAUGUGGUGGGCACUCUCUGAUCCAGAUUUUACAGAUGAAGAGGCUGAGAUACAGAAAAGUGACACACACCCAUGGUGAUACAGACUCACAAUUACUUGUCGCAGAUCAUACAGCUACUAAAUCUGCAAUCUGCAAGAUGAUCUCCUGGAGAGAUUUGGUUCCAACUUGUGCCAUCUCUGGCCCCUCUGCUGAAGUUUCCAAUAAUAUGGAAAUGCCUGUUGAGGAAACAGGGAGCAGCACAGGUCUUCUAAAUUCCACCAGUACAUCUGCUUUUGGCUCACUCUCAACCAAGUAACUGAGACUAAAACGAGUUUUAGUUCAAACUUAUCUGUGUCUGUAAGGAGAACUCAAAAUAUUUGGUGAACAGCUCUAAUGACGACCACACCCCUGGGGUACACAAUUCCUGCAGAGAUGACAAGAGGAUGAAGAUUGAGGACACCCAUCCCUGCCCUGACUUUCUCUAAGGAGGGAAACAUGGUAGCCUGCCAAUAAAGCAUCAGGAAUGAGUUCCAUAUGCCUGUGUUCAUUUUGGCAAAGUUAAGUCAGAAGAACAGGUUUAUUUCAACGGCAGGAAGAAAGAGCCACACAGGAAAUCGGCAAUACUCCCAGUGUUAUAACUGAGUUGGCAGAUUGGAAAAACAUCACUAGACAGAGUCAUUUGCAUCGGUGAUAUUUUGGAUUUCACAAGUGAGUCAUCUGCAUCCUCCACCCAGUGAGUCAGCCAUGCCCCUGACUAGCACGGAGCAUCUCUAUUUUGGUUAAGUGUGGAGACUGCAUGACACCUGUCCUAGCAGAUUGCAAACUUGCCAUUUAUACCACUUACAGUGACAAUUCACUGAAUUUUCGUGAAUGGAUUAUCAACUAGUUAGGGUUCUUGUAAGUGGUCGUGAGAGUCACAGAGAAAUUGAGGGAGAAAUUUACUUUACAGGAAAUGGUUAACUAUCAUGCAGCACUUACUUGCAAUAGCCAGGAUGCUCAUGAAAACAAAGAAAUAUACCUUGAUGGCUUAAUUGCUCAUGGAUGCAAAUUAACUCAAGUGAGAAAGGGCUGGGCACUGGGUUAAUUCUAAGGUGUUUUGCUGUUUCAGGUUUACAUUCCCGUCUCAAACAUAUGCCUUGCAUCUAACAGCUGGGCGUGAGAGUGGAGGUUUGAAGGUUGUGGGGGUGCUGAUGGGAGCAGAACAGGUGAAGUCAUGUGUAGCACAUUAUGAGAUUUUAAUCUUAACUGUGAAUUAAAACAUAGGUAAAGAAAAAUCGUAAAGUGUUGAAAUCCCACAUGGGUCGGUUUAACAACUAGGUAUUUUAUUGUCACAACUAGAAGACUUGAUUUUUGAUUACAGAACAGGGAAGAGGGUGGAUGACAAAAUUGAAAGUAAUCACAGGAAUUAAGGAAAAAUUCAAAUCAAUCUCUGUACCGUUUGCUGAUGCUAUUUACAUUCACCUUAAGUUUUCACUCUAGGAGAGAAGACUGUUAGAUGGAAGGGUAAAAACGAGAUUAGGUAUGAAUUAGGCCAGUGAAAAGUUGAAAAUUUUGUUAAGUUCCUAGGGUUUUGUGUGUGUGUGUGUGUGCGCAUCUGAACAAAUGAUGGCUAAUUUGCUUUGACUGUUUGGGAAUAUUCCUUUGUUGGCAGUUUCCAAAAGUGAGCAGCAGUAGCUAUUCUUAUAUCAGAAAAAACAGACUUUAAAGCAACAACAGUUAAAAAAGGCAAAGAUGGUAAUUAUAUAAUAAUAAACGGAUUAAUCCAACAAGAAGAUACUACAAUCCUAAUUAUUUACCCAUAGCUCUGGAGCUCCCAGAUUCAUAAACAAUUGCUACUAGACCUAAGUAAAGAGAUAAACGCAACACAAUAAUAGUUGGGGACUUCAACUCCUCUGAAAGUACUUGACAGAUCACCAAGGCAGAAAGUCAACAAAGAAACACUUGACUUAAACUACACUCUAGAGCAAAUGGACCUAAUAGUUAUUUAUAGAACAUUCUACCCAAGAACUGUAGAAUAUAUAUUCUUUUCAUCAGCACAUGGAACAUUCUCCAGGAUAGACCAUGUGAUAAGUCACAACACAAGUCUCAAUGCAUUAAAAAAUCGAAAUAAUAUCAAACAUCUUUUCAGACCACAGUGGAAUCAAACUAGAAGUCAACUCCAAAAGGACCCUCAAAACUAUGUAAAUACAUGGAAAUUAAACCAUCUUUUCCUGAAUGAUUUUGGGGUUAUCAAUGAAAUCAAGAUGGGAAUUGAAAAAUUAUUCAGAAUGAAUAAUAGUGACAUAAGUUAUCAAAAUCUUGGAUACAGUAAAAGCAGUGCUAAGAGGAAAGUUUAUAGUACUAAAUGCCUACAUCAACAAGUCUGAAAGAUCACAAAUUGACAAGCUAACAUUGCACCUCAAGAAAUUAGAGAAGUAAGAACAAACCAAGCCCAAAGCUAACAGAAGAAAAGAAAUAACGAGCAUCAGAUCAGAACUAAAUAAAAUUAAAACAGCAAAAAACAAAACAAAAGAUGAAUGAAACAAAAUGUUGGUUCUUUGUAAAGGUAAACCAAAUCAAUAGACCAUUAGCCAGAUUAACCAAGAAAAGAAGAGAGAAGAUUCCAAUAAGCUUAAUUAGGAAUGAAAAUGGAAACAUUACAACCAAACCACAGAAAUACAAAAGAUAAUUUGAGACCACUAUGAACCCUUCCAUGCACACAAACUAGAAAAUCUAAAGGAAAUGGA